UACGUAGGGGGCUAGCGUUGUCCGGAAUCAUUGGGCGUAAAGCGCGUGUAGGCGGCCCGGUAAGUCCGCUGUGAAAGUCGGGGGCUCAACCCUCGGAUGCCGGUGGAUACUGUCGGGCUCGAGUACGGAAGAGGCGAGUGGAAUUCCUGGUGUAGCGGUGAAAUGCGUAGAUAUCAAGAGGAACACCUGAGGUGAAGACGGGUUGCUGGGCCGACACGUGACGCUGAGUGCGCGAAAGCCAGGGGAGCAAACGGG
rnacentral:rRNA from 1 species